UAUUUCCACUUGCAAACUUAUGCAACCUCUUGGCUUUACUUAGUACUUUAAUCACUGUUUUGUCUAAAUAUGACAUUUGUACUUUGUUAAUGAAGCUGGUCUGAAAUAUACUUUGUUCACCAUUCUUGCCCAUGUGCAUCUUCAGAUCCACAGCCCACAGUGAAUAGCUAAUUUAGGAUCUGGGUUAAGUAGCCAGGAUGCAGGAUGAGUGAAUUUGAUUUGGGAUUUCAACAAAGUUUGAAUUUUUGAGAAGUAGUUGGGGGAUAGGAAUAUUAGGAUGGUAUCAGCUGAUAAUGGUGAAGUUACUGGAGGAGUUGAUGAAACUAGUGGUGCAAAAGUCAAGGGGGUUGUCCCAUUGCAUAUCGGAACAUCUCAAAGGGAGCUUCUUGGUAAUGAGGACCCGCAAAUUCUGUCUGAUGGUAGCUUAAGUUCUGUUGUCAACAGAAUGAAUUUUUUCAAUCUUGGUGCUUUAGAGUCUCCGACUCUAAAAUUUCAAAGGAUUGCGGUUAUGAGAGAUGAAUUUUCGCAGAGUGUUCCUUCUUCAGGUAGUAUACGAGAACGCAUAAGUAAAGUAUUUAGUCGGAAGAUUGAUUGGAACAACCUUAAGAAGAUCUGCAACGAGUGGAUAAGAAAUCCAAUGAAUAUGGUUCUCUUAUUGUGGGUAGUUUGUGUUGCUGUGUCGGGUGCAAUUUUGUUUCUUGUCAUGACUGGAAUGCUAAAUAGUGCGUUGCCUAGAAAAACCCAGAGAAAUGCUUGGUUUGAAGUUAACAACCAGAUCCUUAAUGCGUUAUUUACCCUUAUGUGUCUGUACCAACAUCCACAACGACUGUACCAUCUUGUACUUCUUUUGAGAUGGAAACCAGAAGAUAUUUCUAGACUACGGAAGAUUUACUGCAAGAACGGGACUUAUAAACCUCAUGAAUGGGUACACAUGAUGGUGAUUAUACUUCUACUCAACCUUAACUGUUUUGCACAGUAUGCCUUGUGUGGUCUUAAUGUGGGAUACAAGAGAUCAGAUCGUCCUGCUUUAGGUGUUGGAAUAACAAUUUCCUUUGCAAUUGGCUGCCCUGCAAUUGCGGGCGUGUAUGCCAUUGUUAGCCCCCUUGGAAAGGACUACCAUUCUGAACUUGACGAAGAAGCUCAGAAUAUCUCUUCUGACAUAACUGUAAAAAGCCCACUGAGAUUAAAAACCUUGGAAAAGAGAUUUUCAUUUGCACAUAGAUCUGCGGGCAAGACUGAAGAAGAUAGACCAGUGUGGAGUGGAGGAAUAUUUGACAUGUGGGAAGAUAUUUCUUUAGCAUAUCUAUCUCUAUUCUGUAGUUUUUGUGUUUUUGGGUGGAAUAUGGAGAGACUUGGAUUUGGUAACAUGUAUGUUCAUAUUGCGACUUUUCUUCUUUUCUGUCUGGCUCCAUUUUGGAUCUUCAAUCUGGCUGCUGUCAAUAUAAAUGACGAAGUUGUGAGGGAGAUAUUGGGGCUAACUGGGGUUUUCCUUUGUAUAUUUGGUUUACUCUAUGGUGGUUUUUGGAGGAUUCAAAUGAGAAAGAGAUUUAAUCUGCCACCGUACAGUUUCUGUUGUGGUAAACCAGCUGUUGCCGAUUGUGCAUUGUGGCUUUGCUGCUGUUGGUGUACACUUGCUCAGGAAGUGCGGACUGGCAAUGCUUAUGAAAUUGCAGAGGCUAAGUUUUACAAGAAGAAAGGGGAUGAAAAUACUCAGUUACCAAUGUCUCCUUCCUCCCGUCAAGAUGAGCGGGGGUAUCAGGUUAAAUCUGGCCCAAGUUCACCUUUUGGGAACAGUUCGUCUCCAGCCAACAUAUUCAAAGCAAACUCUCCAAGUCCUAGCAGAUUUUUCAAUGAGCAUCGCAGUCCAGGCAGGCAGCCUCCUGAGGUAAAAGAACGUUCUGAUACAAAUACCAAGGAUGAAAUUUUGAAACCUCCUACCCCACUAUUAAUACAAAGAGAAGCCAGUUGAAAGACGAGUACUAUGUUUGUACUGCAAAUGUGUUGCAUUGCGAAAUUCUACCUGUCCUAGGUUUCAAAUAAGCCUGAUUGUGUUAUUGUUUGCUGUUUCCACAUAAAUUCCUUCUUGAUGGCUCCGGAAUAUACAUUCUCCAUUGUCGUCCAAGUCUAAAUUAUUCUUAGCAGAGGUCUUCUGUGCCUUACAGAGAUCAUAAGAGCUCAAAAAUAAUUUUAUAGUAUAGGUGAUUUGUUAGUUAUUAAAAAUA